ACCCAUAUUGAUAGCAGACAGCAAACAGUGUAUUUGAAGUUCUCAAUCUACAGUAGCAGUCUCCUUGGCAUAUCUUGUUCAAUGGCUAUGGUCUC